rnacentral:lncRNA from 1 species
UUGAAAAAAUUCAGAAAUAAGUGAAGAGAAAGGUCAAGAGAGGUUUUGGCUUCUGCGAAAAAGGGAAAAAAAAAAAAGGAAAAGUCAGAACGUGAGAGAGAGAAAGAGAGAGGAGAAAGGUAAAAAGGCAAAAGGUGAUUUGACCCCUACUAUUCAUCAUCUUCCUCAAGUCCGCUGCCCCUCCUCUGCAACUUCCAUCCGCAGGGCUUCCACAGCCGUGCGUCCGCCACAGCCGCUUCGUCGGUCUCCCCACGAAGCUCGCCCCGACGUUUGAGUCCUCCUCCACCCAAGCCCACCGUGCCGCGCCGAGCCUUGCCCUUGCUCCGCUCCCUGACGAACCACCUCACCGCUCACGCCGACGCCGCCUGGGGCUUGAAGCCAGUCCCGUCCGACGCCUGGAUCUUCCUUCGCACGAGCCCCGACGACCCCCGCCGUUCGCCUCUGCCGUCUCCCCUGCAGCGCCUCCACCGCGACGCGUCUGUUCCGACGCCGCGCCCACACCACGAGCUCGCUGCUCCGCACGCAAAUCGCCAGAACAGGACUCAAGCCUACCUAGUUCCACCUCUGAUCACCCGAACCUUCCGCCCAGACGCAGCAACGCUGCCCCGCCUUCACCGGUGAUCCGCUCCAGCCCGUCCGUCCGAUGCCUCUGCAGCGCUUCCACCCGUGACGCCCUUGUUCCGUCCGACGAAGCUGCUGCUGUGCUGCUCCGAGCUUCCCCCGACAUCCAGACGCACCGGUGACUCACCUCACCGGAACCCCGAACGCCGGCGACCCGAACCCGCUACCCGAAGAUCAGCCGCACGAGCAAGCCGUGGGUGAAGAAAGCAAGAAAAGAAAAAUAAAAGAAAAGGAAAAAGAAAUUAGGUAGUUUCAUUUUCUUUUUAUAUUUACUUUAUUUUGUUUAUAUUAUGUAGUUUAGAUAUUUAAUUGGAUCCCAAUGUUCACUUUAUGAGUCUUGUAGGCAUUAUCCGCAGGGUCUUCCACAAUAAUUAUUAUAAUUAUUAAUUUGACCCGUAAGAUGUCGGGUCAUUUCUUUAAUUAUUUUAAUUCUUGGAGUUUGUUGAUACUACUUUAAUUGUUAAAUCAAUAUAACUAUUAAUUUGAU